rnacentral:rRNA from 1 species
GAUGAACGCUAGCGGCAGGCUUAACACAUGCAAGUCGAACGGUAACAUAGAGAGCUUGCUUUCUGAUGACGAGUGGCGAACGGGUGCGUAACGCGUAUGCAACCUACCUUAAACAGGGGUAUACCCCAGAGAAAUUUGGAUUAAUCCCCCAUAGUAUAAUCAUUUCGCAUGUUAUGAUUAUUAAAACUUCGGUGGUUUAAGAUGGGCAUGCGUGACAUUAGAUAGUUGGUGAGGUAACGGCUCACCAAGUCAACGAUGUCUAGGGGUUCUGAGAGGAUUAUCCCCCACACUGGUACUGAGACACGGACCAGACUCCUACGGGAGGCAGCAGUGAGGAAUAUUGGUCAAUGGACGAAAGUCUGAACCAGCCAUGCCGCGUGAAGGAUGACUGCCCUACGGGUUGUAAACUUCUUUUAUGUAGGAAGAAACCUCUCUUCGUGAAGAGAGCUGACGGUACUACACGAAUAAGCACCGGCUAACUCCG